GGCUGUUAGAAAGGUCGAGGCUCUUAUUUCUCAAUUUGUGGGUGAUACAGACAGGACAAUGCAAUAAGAAUGGCUGCUAUUUAUUGAAUGUCUACUACGAGCCUGGUGCUACAGUGGCUCCUCUACGUAUGUCAUUGUAGGAGUGUAUUUGGUCAGGAGGAUCAUAAAUCCUUAUUUUAUUCCCCUUCAUCUUAGAGAAAAUAGCUUGAUGACACCCAGGAAUGUGACACCUAGGUACAGGAAAGAGCUUUUAACUCUGACGAGGCUCUGCCAAUACCUGGAUCCAGAUAAGUGUGAGUACUACAUUGGAACACAAGGCCUGACUACAGACUAGAAGUGGCUCCAGAAGCACUUCAUCUUCUGUGGCUAAGAAACAGGAUCUGUUCUGAGAAAAACCAACAUCUGUAACCACACGUUAAGAGUGCAUAAAUUCACACACACAUACAUCACAACAACAACAACAACAACAACUUUCUUUGAAAGAGGGGCGAGUGAUGUAGUUAUAAUCUCUCACUAUUGGAGAGUUUCUGAAACAUGUUCACAUCUCCUACCUCAUUUGAUCCUCCCCCAAAUGCAGUUUGGAAUAAGGCAUGCAGCCACUACAAGUCCUGUUUCACAGAUGAAGUGGGUGAGGUUUAGAAAAGCCAAGGGCCUAGCUCAAGGUCACAAGUUACUGGGUGGCGGAGCAGGGACGUGAGCCCAGGUGUCCGAGUCCUGUGCCAUUGGGGACCCACUUGACUAAUGCAGGGUAUUAGAGUUAAGUGGGUAAGGGGUCUUGAAACAUUUGCCCAUUUUUCAGGCAUUUGACCUAAACCACAGAAAAGGGAAAAACUAGUGACCUAAGGUCACAUAAAGAGUCACACAAGCAGAAAAUUGAAGAAAGAAUGAAGUCUAACUCCAGUCCAUGUUUACAACAAAUCCUCCUCCUAUCAAGAGCCAGUACCUUUAAAAAGGAAUCUCUUCUUCUCAAAAGAACCAGAGACAUUUCCAAAUGUUUUCCCCUUGAUUAAAAUCCUAGGUAUAAAAAGCAGGAAAUGUUUAUGCUCAAAAAACAAGGCUCCUCUGUAUUGAGCAAAUGGGAAUCCUUUGAUUCAAUCUGAAAUUUCUUUUCUAGGUAUGGUUACGUGGUUUUUUAAAAGAAAUAAAAAUGGAGAACGUUCAAUGCUUUAAAUACCACCUUUCUCUCUCUCAGUUUGCUUGCU
rnacentral:lncRNA from 1 species